rnacentral:misc_RNA from 1 species
AUUAAAUAUUCUUAUACUGAGGACCAUCGGUAUAAUUUAACCCUUUUAAUCGUCCUCAGCUUCGGAUCUAGACCUGUCGCUGGCUCUGUUACCCAGACCUCUAUUUCAUUCCUCUGUUCGUUAAAAAUAUCGCAGACUAUUUCGAUCUCGCACGCUAUAUCUCUUCCAACAUCUCUCGAUUCUAACUUAAUAAAUUCAGUCCCAGAAGGAUCGGUUUCGAGCUCAACCGUAGGCGUCAGGGCGAAACUGUGAGUCCACUUUCUCUUUCUGAAAACCCUAACCCUUAAGGCAGCUGCAUUUCAGCUUGUAUUUAUAUAGGAUUUUAUGGGAAUCUGUCGUUAAAUAAUAUAAAAAUAAAAAUCAAAAUUUAAUAUAAUUUUAAAAAAUAAAUUAGAAAUUUUUGGAGAGCAGGAGAAGAGUAUUGGCUGUGUCUGCUACUCAGCAUUUCAUUUCAAACUAGAAAAUGAGACUCCUUUAGAUCCAAAAACAACCUGCUAUGGACAUAUCUGCUUUCUCCCUCUCUCUAUUCCUGUAAACCCGUGAAAGAAAACAAGCCAUUUAUCCUUUUUCGUCUCCCACUGCCAGAAACGCCAAAGCCAAAGUGCUCACAAAUAGGCCCGUGACGACUCUCGUGAAAUUUCCUUUAACAUAGAUAUAUUUACAUUCCAAUCAAAAUCAAACACUGGAUCACCUCCCAUUGAAUUCCAAUACGUCAUCGCUAAUCACAAUCCAUCCAUUUAUCACGGCUACAAAUACCCACUACAACAAUGACACAACAUGCCCAUCACAAAAUACCCACAAGAUUCCCAUUCACCAACUCUGGUUUUCUUCCCAUUUCCAUGGCUUCUCUGCUCGCCCUCUCUGUUCUCACUCUCUUUCUUCUCCUCUCUUCCUCCUCUGCCAUCCCCAAUAACCACCGUCAUAAAUCAAAACCACCCUCACCAUCGUCUAUUUCUGCCCCACCUGAGAUUCUCCAGGCUUGUGAAGCCACCAGAUUCCCAGAUAUCUGCGCAUCAUCUUUUGCCGAUUCCAAACAUGUCCCUCCGAACCCAACUCCUCUCCAAAUCAUCCAAUCGGCGAUUUCUUUCUCCGCUACUAAUCUCCAAACUGCCCAAUCAAUGGUCAAGUCCAUUCUAGCCAACUCCGCCGGCAAUGUAAACCGCACGACCGCAGCUAAAAACUGCAUAGAACAACUCGGUAAUUCCGAGUAUCGUAUCUCAUCAACGCUCGAUGCUUUGCCACGUGGGAGGAAUAAGGAUGCGAGAGCUUGGAUGGGCGCGUCUCUGGUUUAUCAGUACGAUUGCUGGAACAAUUUCAAGUACGCAAACGACACGUCGCAGACCAACGAAACGAUGGCGUUUUUGAAUACACUGCAAAUGAUAACCAGCAAUGCUUUGAGCAUGCUUAUGGCUUACGACGUAUACGGGAACCAGACCACGUCGUGGACACCACCGAAGACGGAGCGGGACGGGUUUUGGGAGGGUUCCGGGUCGGGCGGUAAUCUGGGUUUACGCGGUGGGUUCCCGUCAAAGCUAACGGCGGACGUCACAGUUUGUAAAGAUGGAAGUGGCGGGUGUUAUAAAACGGUGCAGGAGGCUGUAGAUGCGGCGCCGGAUAACCAGGUGAGCAAAAAGUUUGUGGUGCAUAUAAAAGCAGGGGUUUAUAACGAAAUCGUUAGGAUUCCGUUGGAGAAGAAGAAUGUUGUGUUUUUGGGAGAUGGGAUGGGCAAAACAGUCAUUACGGGAUCUUUGACUGUGGGUCAACCUGGUAUUUCCACUUACAACACGGCCACUGUUGGUAUGUCAAUACUUUACUUGAUUUUGUCACAAUUUUAUUUAUAUUAUUUAGUUCUUUUAUUUCCUUUAUCUGAGUUGUGAAUUUUCUAAAUUAGAAAAGAAAUCAAUUCUAAAUAUUGAUUAGCUCUUUUUCAGGUUCUACAUAAAAUAACUAUAUUAAUUUUUAAUUUUACAUAUAUAUAUAUAGGUAAGAAGAAUUUCUCAAUUAUUCAAGUGAGAUGAAUCAUAAAGAAAAUUUUCUUGAUAAAUUUCAUUUCCCGUCAAUUGUAGAUUGAUAUGUUUUGUAAUUCUGCUGCAGCGGUUCUUGGCGAUGGAUUCAUGGCUAGUGGUAUCACGUUCCAGAAUGCAGCAGGACCUCCUACCCACCAAGCAGUGGCGUUUAGAUCAGACAGCGACCUAUCAUAUAUUGAGAACUGUGAAUUCCUAGGCAAUCAAGAUACUUUGUAUGCUCAUUCUCUUCGCCAAUUCUACAAAUCAUGUCGCAUUCAGGGCAAUGUGGAUUUCAUUUUUGGAAACUCAGCUGCAGUUUUUCAAGAUUGCCAAAUCUUAGUGAGUCCCAGGCAAGUAAAGCCCGAAAAAGGAGAAAAUAAUGCGGUCACAGCACACGGCAGGAUAGACCCUGCCCAACCAACUGGUUUUGUGUUUCAAAAUUGCUCCAUUAAUGGCACUCCAGAAUAUAUGGCAUUGUACAAUAGCAAACCUAAAGUUCACAAGAAUUACUUGGGGAGGCCAUGGAAGGAAUACUCGAGAGUUGUUUACAUAAAUUGUAACUUUGAAGCUCUUAUAACAGCACAAGGGUGGCUGCCUUGGAGUGGUGAUUUCGCACUGAAAACACUAUACUAUGGAGAAUAUAAGAAUUCUGGACCAGGCUCUAAUUUGUCUCAGAGAGUAACCUGGAGUAGUCAGAUUCCGGCAGAGCAUGUAAACGCUUAUUCAGUACAGAAUUUCAUUCAAGGAGAUGAUUGGAUGCCAACAUCUUCUUGAUUAUUGAAAAUUCGAUAUAAUAAUAUUAGUAGUAAUCUUGUAUAUUAACAUUAAUUGUAGCACUGUUAUAUGCCGCAUUACAAUUCUUGUUGCUUACAAAAUCAUCUAAUUUGAAAUUGAAUGUGAGGAUUGUUUACUGAAGCUGAACUUAGCUUAGUUGCAUAUGUACCUAUCUAUUUAGAUUAAAAUAGAUCAGCAAUGAAAACGGAAGAGGGGGGAAGUGAAUCAACCUUAUCUUAUGCAAGUGUCUUAUGCAAGGAAGGUUGAAUUGUAAUAUUAAUAAAUAACGUGACUUGCAGGUAAGGUGGGAAUGAAAGCAAAUUGAAGUUCCAUCCCUUGGUUGUGUAUGAGAUGGGGACAAC